rnacentral:sRNA from 1 species
AAGAGAUGUGACUUUUUCUUACAAUUCA